AGCUUUUGAGAGGUUUUACAAAGAUUAAAACUCUAUGGCUUAAAAACAUAUAAUACAAAGAGUGGUGAUUGAUUAUAAAUUGUUUUACAGGCGUCUCUUUUACAAUGGUGGUCUAUGGAGAAAAUGUUUUUUCAUGCGUUGCAGUAACACGAGCGGCCACUGGGGGGAAAAAUGGCGGCAUGGCUGAGCGGCGGCAACGUAUCCAGUUCUCGUGAUACAUCCGUGAUUAAAACCAACGUUUGAACCGUUGCCUCGGUUUGUUAGUACUGUAAGAAAACGUAAUUACUGAAGAGACUAGAUACUAAAACAAGCUUUUUUUGUCGACCACAAGUGAGGCUGGACACUGAAUACACCUGCGGCGCGAAGGUGUCACCACUUCGUCCACGACAUCGUCCACGAUCGCAGAGACAUGGUCCAUGAUCGGAGAGACAUUGUUGAGGAUGAGGGAGACAUCGUCCACGAUCAGAGACGUUGUCCAUGAUUGCAGAGACCUUGUCAAAGAUGAGAGAGACGUUGUCCAUGAUCAGAGACAUUGUCCCAUGCUUCGUAGAGACCUUGCGAUAGAAUCGGCGGAGACGGGGGUCACCGAUUUGACGGCACUGCCCGCGAUCAUGGAGACAUUGUUGAUGGUCACAGAGACAGCGUCUAUGAUCUCAGAGACAUCAUCCACGAUCACAAAGACAUUGUCCAUGAUCACAGAGACUUUGUCCAUAAUCUCAGAGACAUUGUCCGCGAUCACAGAGACGUAGUCCACGAUCACAGAGACGUAGUCCACGAUCACAGAGACGUAGUCCACGAUCACAGAGAGUCUUUGUACACUGAGGAAGUUCUUUGAGACCAGGACAGAGGCCUCCAGGUGUCACCACUUCGUCCAUGACAUCGUCCACGAUCGCAGAGACAUCGUCCAUGAUCGCAGAGACAUGGUCCAUGAUCGGAGAGACAUUGUUGAGGAUGAGGGAGACAUCGUCCACGAUCAGAGACGUUGUCCAUGAUCGCAGAGACCUUGUCAAAGAUGAGAGAGACGUUGUCCAUGAUCAGAGACAUUGUCCCAUGCUUCGUAGAGACCUUGCGAUAGAAUCGGCGGAGACGGGGGUCACCGAUUUGACGGCACUGCCCGCGAUCAUGGAGACAUUGUUGAUGGUCACAGAGACAGCGUCUAUGAUCUCAGAGACAUCGUCCACGAUCACAAAGACAUUGUCCAUGAUCACAGAGACUUUGUCCAUAAUCUCAGAGACAUUGUCCGUGAUCACAGAGACGUAGUCCACGAUCACAGAGCGUGAUCGUCCACGAUCACAAAGACAUUGUCCACGAUCGCAGAGUGUUUUCAUUCAAUAAAGAAGUUCUUUGAGACCAGGACUGAGGCCUCCAGGUGUCACUACUUCGUCCACGACAUCGUCCACGAUCGCAGAGACAUCGUCCACGAUCACAGAGACAUGGUCCAUGAUCGGAGAGACAUUGUUGAGGAUGAGGGAGACAUCGUCCACGAUCAGAGACGUUGUCCAUGAUCGCAGAGACCUUGUCAAAGAUGAGAGAGACGUUGUCCAUGAUCAGAGACAUUGUCCCAUGCUUCGUAGAGACCUUGCGAUAGAAUCGGCGGAGACGGGGGUCACCGAUUUGACGGCACUGCCCGUGAUCAUGGAGACAUUGUUGAUGGUCACAGAGACAGCGUCUAUGAUCUCAGAGACAUCGUCCACGAUCACAAAGACAUUGUCCAUGAUCACAGAGACUUUGUCCAUAAUCUCAGAGACAUUGUCCGCGAUCACAGAGACGUAGUCCACGAUCACAGAGACGUAGUCCACGAUCACAGAGAGUCUUUGUACACUGAGGAAGUUCUUUGAGACCAGGACAGAGGCCUCCAGGUGUCACCACUUUGUCCACGACAUCGUCCACGAUCGCAGAGACAUGGUCCAUGAUCGGAGAGACAUUGUUGAGGAUGAGGGAGACAUCGUCCACGAUCAGAGACGUUGUCCAUGAUCGCAGAGACCUUGUCAAAGAUGAGAGAGACGUUGUCCAUGAUCAGAGACAUUGUCCCAUGCUUCGUAGAGACCUUGCGAUAGAAUCGGCGGAGACGGGGGUCACCGAUUUGACGGCACUGCCCGCGAUCAUGGAGACAUUGUUGAUGGUCACAGAGACAGCAUCUAUGAUCUCAGAGACAUCGUCCACGAUCACAAAGACAUUGUCCAUGAUCACAGAGACUUUGUCCAUAAUCUCAGAGACAUUGUCCGCGAUCACAGAGAGUCUUUGUACAAUAAAGAAGUUCUUUGAGACCAGGACAGAGGCCUCCAGAAGGAGAGGACGACAGCAGCUGAAGACCUGAAGUGGAUGAGAGAAAACAAGUGUUACAAAGCUGUUAAUUAGAUGAAAAGAUCUCGAUCACGUGAAAACACUGUUUUUCCUCUACCAUCUGUAAUGGAGUCAUGGGCACAUUUUCCAAAGUCUCAAAGAUGUUCUUCUUUGGAAGAUGUGCUCAUAACUACAUUAGCCCUAACUCUAACCAGCUCUAAGAGAUGUUUCCUUGUGGUCAAAUGUCUGUCAUUAUCUUUGCUGUGAUAUGUUAAGUGUUGUCUGUGUAUCUUUCUAAACUUUUGCAUUUCUCUAUUUUGUAACUAAAAUUAUACAAAUCAUUUUAAUGCAUUUUAAGAAAAAAACAUAAUGUUUUAAUUUUUAUACUUUUUUUUAAGGCUUUUUCCUUUUAAAAGGUUUUGCACUCAUUGCUCAGAUAUAGUUAAGGAUUUUUUGAUUAGUUUUCAAAAAGUUUCAUACUUAUGUUUUACUUUUAAAUAUAUAUUUUCAAAGGUUUUCACUAUAUAUUUAAAGGCUUUAUACUUGUUUUUAGACUUACUGGUUAAGGUUUUGUACUCAACUUUUUAUGGGUUUAAUACUUAAUUCUUAGACCUAUGUUAAAAGCUUUCAUAGAUAUAGAUAUAUACACUUUUGUCUAUGUAAAGCAGUUAUACUAUGGUGUUCUGAGUUAGUCACACCACAGAAAAAUGUGCUAUUAGCCACCCAGCUAAAUUUGAAUGGUUAAAAAACAUCUGCAAAUAUAUAAAAUUAGGUUUCAAAAUCAUUUAAAAAACAAGGAGCUCUCUCUGCUCUGAGACACUGGGGGCGUGUCCGCUGAAGGUGCUUAAAGCACCCACAGUGACAGUUAGCAUCCUAUUCUGUAAAUGUUUGGGCCACUGAAGCUUUUUGUUUUUGUUGAUUAAAUGGCCUGUCUUCAGUAGUAAGGCAUCAAAUUAAUAAAAAAUAAAAAAUCACAGUAUAGUGACACCUGUCUUUAAGGAGUCAAGAAACAAGUGUGUUUAUGCAGUCAUAUUACUGAUGUAUAUAAAAGUAGGUAUAAUGAUGUUACACUGAUAAUAAACUCACUUUGUUGUAACUAGUGUGUUAUUAUGGCUACAAGUGAGUUACUGCCUCAGUGUAACCAGUAUUUUCUAACAUAAAUAAUGUUUUAAUAGACAAAUCUCUGAGUUUGCUUUGCAGACUUAAAAGGCUUUAACCUUAUUUAUCAAACCUGUUUUAUGAGUUUUAUCCUUAUGUUUUAGAAUUAUUCCUUUACAGUUUGAAAUUUAUUGUUAAAUGAUUUCAUACUUACUUUUUAGAACUAUUUAUUUAAGGUUUUACAUUUAUUUUUUACACAUUUUUUCAGGGUUGGUUUUAUACUUAAUAUUUAAAGGUUUUCAAUUUAUUAAAUUAUUUUAAAGUUUAAUACUUACUAUUAAAACUAUUUACUAAAAGGGUUUCUAUUCUAUUCUAAACUAAGGUUUUAUAUUUUCUGUACAUAUAGUUUUCCAUAUUUUUAAAACUUUUUUGCAGCUACAUUGUUGAAAAAUACCAAUUAAUACUAAUUACAACAGCUAAUUAAAGCAGCUUUAAUUUGUUCCAGGCAAGAGGUUUUAAAGUGUCAAACUGCAGCUGAAAUAAUGACAGAGUCAGACUGAAAAGAAUAAACUAACACUGACCUUC